rnacentral:rRNA from 1 species
GACGGAGGAUGCAAGUGUUAUCCGGAAUCACUGGGCGUAAAGCGUCUGUAGGUCGUUUAAAAAGUACUACUGUUAAAAAAUUGAGCUUAACUUCAAAGAUGCCGUAGAAACUUUUAAACUUGAGUAUGGUAGGGGUAGAGGGAAUUUCCAGUGGAGCGGUGAAAUGCGUAGAUAUUGGAAAGACCACCAAUGGCGAAGGCACUCUACUGGGCCAUUACUGACACUGAGAGACGAAAGCUAGGGGAGCAAAUGGG